UUUGUAGCAGUCAAAGUGGCCAAAUAGUUCGGUACACCAUACUAAAUAUAUGGUGUACCGAACUAUUUGGCUACUUUGGUUGCUACAAAGUAUUUGACGCUGACUGUACUAAUUUUAAAACCUUCACCCGUAUUGUCCUUAAUAACCUUAUACUCCGCACAAACAUACUCGUAGAUCCCAUCCACACUCCAACACACACUAAAAAAAUAUACAGUCGCGUCCACACCACUUCGUCUGAGGCCAGUCACGCGCCUUAACGGCCGCUCCCAUGGCGGCGAAAAAACGAGCAUCAGAAAAAACCGCUCUAAAAAAAGUUGGACCGCGGCCUCGUACACAACAUUGACCAUAGAUGGAUCUUAUGCCUUUGAAAUAAGGUUCACGGUUAACAGCGUGUACGGUACUCACAUAUUUUGAAACCAAGGUUAUCUUUUCGCGAGCCAGUACAGGUAGGUUUAUUUAUGUUGGAUGCACUGUUUUCUUUUAAUGUUUUGUUUUGUAUUUGAUUGUUUAAAGUAUUUUUUUAGGUUUUUAAUGGGGUGUUGUGUAAAUUGAGAAUAUAUUUAAAUAUUUUAAAUUAAUCGCGUUCAAUCUGCAUAAAAAGAAAUUGUGUUCAUAUUUUUUCAGUGAAGAUAUAUGUUUUUUUUUAAAUCUGUGAUUAGGAAAAUGUAUGCGUUGACGUAUGACAUUACAAAAAUUGCUGACCCAAAGUGGACUCUAACAGCACAAGACCGAUCUAUCUCUGGAGGAGGCCUUUACCCGAGAAGGGGUUCUUGCUUCGUAGUGUAGGAAUAUACUUAAUGUUAUUUAAAAAUUGAAUUUUAAAUUUAAUUUAUGUAAAAAUAAUGACAUUUUUGAUUAUUUAUCAUAAUUAUGUAUAUUCCUCCUAUUUUUCGAAUCAUGUUGACAUUGUAACUACUUGCAAGAAAUAAAGACUUUUUUUUUACAAGCUUUUAUUUACUUUCACCUGACCAUUGUCUGUUAGUAAUCAAAUCUUGCAAGUUAAAUUUGACCCACUUCCCGGUUUCCGAUGAAGCUGAAAAUUUGCAUACAUAUGUAAGUCGGGUGACAAUGCAAUAUUAUGGUACCAUCGAGAUGAUCUGAUGAUGGAGACAGGAGGUGGCCAUAGGAACUCUGUGAUAAAACAACGUAACCCAAUUGUGUUUGGGGUUUUUAGAAUUGUCUCGAUGAGUAUUAGUUACUUGUGGAAAGAAAAAUACAGUCAGCGAUAAUAGCUUGUAA